rnacentral:rRNA from 1 species
UACGGAGGGUGCAAGCGUUAUCCGGAUUUAUUGGGUUUAAAGGGUGCGUAGGCGGCUUUAUAAGUCGGUGGUUAAAGGUAGCAGCUUAACUGUUUUACUUGCCAUCGAUACUGUAGAGCUUGAGUGAUUUGGAGGCAGCUAGAAUUCCCUGUGUAGCGGUGAAAUGCAUAGAUACGGGGAGGAAUACCGAUUGCGAAGGCAUGUUGCUACGAAUUUACUGACGCUGAGGCACGAAAGCGUGGGGAUCAAACAGG